rnacentral:rRNA from 1 species
UGGGGAAUAUUGGACAAUGGGCGAAAGCCUGAUCCAGCCAUGCCGCGUGUGUGAAGAAGGCCUUAUGGUUGUAAAGCACUUUAAGUGGGAAGGAAAAGCUUAUGGAUAACACCCAUAGGUUCUGACGUUACCCACAGAAUAAGCACCGGCUAACUCUGUGCCAGCAGCCGCGGUAAUACAGAGGGUGCAAGCGUUAAUCGGAAUUACUGGGCGUAAAGCGAGCGUAGGUGGUUUAUUAAGUCAGAUGUGAAAUCCCUGGGCUUAACCUAGGAACUGCAUCUGAUACUGAUAAACUAGAGUAGGUGAGAGGAAAGUAGAAUUCCAGGUGUAGCGGUGAAAUGCGUAGAGAUCUGGAGGAAUACCGAUGGCGAAGGCAGCUUUCUGGCAUCAUACUGACACUGAGGUUCGAAAGCGUGGGUAGCAAACAGGAUUAGAUACCCUGGUAGUCCACGCCGUAAACGAUGUCUACCAGUCGUUGGGUCUUUUAAAGGCUUAGUGACGCAGUUAACGCGAUAAGUAGACCGCCUGGGGAGUACGGCCGCAAGGUUA